rnacentral:rRNA from 1 species
UACGUAGGGGGCGAGCGUUGUCCGGAGUUACUGGGCGUAAAGCGCUUGUAGGCGGUCCACCAAGUUUGGGGUGACAGUUGCCGACUUAAUCGGCAAAGUGCCUCAAAGACUGGCGGACUUGAGGGCCACAGAGGGACAUGGAACUCCAGGUGUAGUGGUGAAAUGCGUAGAUAUCUGGAAGAACACCAAAGGCGAAGGCAGUGUCCUGGGUGGUCGCUGACGCUGAGAGGCGACAGCGUGGGGAGCAAACAGG